rnacentral:rRNA from 1 species
UACGUAGGGGGCGAGCGUUGUCCGGAUUUAUUGGGCGUAAAACGCUUGUAGGCGGCCACAUCGCGUCGUGCGUGAAAUCUCCCGGCUCAACUGGGAGGGGUCGUGCGAUACGGAUGGGCUCGAGGCCGGUAGGGGGACGCGGAAUUCCCGGUGUAGUGGUGGAAUGCGCAGAUAUCAGGAAGAACACCCGUGGCGAAGGCGGCUCUCUGGGACGGUACUGACGCUGAGACGCGAAAGCGUGGGGAGCGAACAGG